UACGUAGGGCGCAAGCGUUGUCCGGAAUUAUUGGGCGUAAAGAGCUCGUAGGCGGUUUGUCGCGUCUGCUGUGAAAACCUAAGGCUCAACCUUGGGCUUGCAGUGGGUACGGGCAGACGUAGAGUGCGGGUAGGGUGACUGGAAUUCCUGGUGAUAGCGGUGAAAUGCGCAGAUAGUCAGGAGGAACACCGGUGGCGGAAGGCGG
rnacentral:rRNA from 1 species